UUCACAAUCUUUCGGCACCCAACGCCGACGCUCAUCAGACCCCAGAAAAGGUGUUGGUCGAUAUAGACAGCAGGACGGUGGCCAUGGAAGUUGGAAUCCGCUAAGGA